rnacentral:rRNA from 1 species
CGUAGGGCCCGAGCGUUAUCCGGUAUUAUUGGGCGUAAAGAGUACGUAGGCGGUUAUGCAAGACAAUGGUUAAAGCUCCGGGCUCAACCCGGAAAUCGCCGUUGUAACUGCAUGACUAGUCGGUAGCAGGGGCAAGCGGAAUUCUCGGUGUAGGAGUGAAAUCCGUUGAGAUCGAGAAGAACACCAAUGGCGAAGGCAGCUUGCUAGGUUACUUGAGACGCUGAGGUACGAAAGCGUGGGGAGCGAACGGGAUUAGAUACCCCGGUAGUCCACGCCGUAAACGAUGCACACUAGCUAUCAGAAGUAUCGACCCUUCUUGUAGCGUAGCUAACGCGUUAAGUGUGCCGCCUGGGAAGUACGGUCGCAAGACUA